CCUACUUUCGACUGGUACUGUACAUAAAUAAGGUAUUUCUGUUUGCUAAAAUUUCAACAAGCCUGUUUUUGCUUUGCCAUUAUGGGCUAUUGUGUGUAAAUUGCUGAGGAAUUUUACUUUAUUACUGUAACGUAACAAAAUAUUGAAAAAUACUGAAUACUUCCCUCAGGCACUGUAAAUCUCCAUCAAAUUCAAGCUUCUGGGAAAAACCCGCAUCGGUCAUGUAAUGGACGAAGGGCUGCUUAUUCAAACUGCGCAACACAACGAGAAGGUAUGAAGAAACAGCUAAGUCCCCUCCUGUUCCCUGAUUACGAGGUGAUGUCCACUCCAUUACCAUUGUUAUCUCUCUCCUGACAUGAACUGAAGCCACGUCUCAUGUGUCCUGUCAUCCACUGGCACACUGAAUGUUUCCCCUCCUAGCACUGUGAGCACCCCAAUCAAUUUUCUCUCACUAAUGUAUGUAGAGUCAAUCACAUACACAAACACGUUAUUACACUGUGUAGUUUAUUGUGUUAUUGUUUUUUGUUUUCCCAGGACCCGUAAGUAAGCAUUUUACUGUUAGCCUUCACCGGAUGUUUACAAAGCAUGUGACAAAUAAAAUGUCAUUUCAUUUGA